GUUUGCCACUACUUAAAUAUUCCUUAGUCUUAGGGAUAUUCUAAUCAUAACUUUUCUUUAAAAACCUAUCUCCUCUCCUCCGCCAUCCUUGCCCCAAAAACUACACAGAAAAAUAAAACACAAAUAAGAAAGAGAACAACGACUGAAGCUUUGAGGAGGGGUAGAGAAGGAGCUUGCUUGGUGUUUACGCUUUUGGCGUUAAUCGGCAAGCAUAUCUUUUCCUAAUUUUGUUUUUCUCUCUAAAUUUUUUUUCCUUCAUGCAAGCAUAAUAUUUUCCUUCUCCUCUUUUAACUUUUAUGUCACUAUCUAUUGCUACCUUGAAAUUCUUGCAUAGCCAUGAAAUUUCCUGUUACUUUAUGAAUUAAGGGGUAAAGUGUAGGAUUCAGUCUGCUAGAGAUUUCAUGCCAAGACUUCUUGCACGAAUUCUUAUUUAUUUAAUUUUUUUGUUAUAUCUUAGAUAUGGAUUAAAUGCUUACCAUUAUGGGUUCUUGGUCUCUAUAUACUAUUAGUGUUCUUGGUGGUAUACGAUUUUUAUUUUUGACAUAAAUUGACUUCCCAUUUCUUUCAAGAUACCAGAGUUGCAAAUAAUUCACUUACUUUAUACCCAUUUACUUAAUAAGUAUUUUAAAAAUUGAAAUAAUUUAUUAUGCAAACUUAGUUGGAUUGAUGAAAGCAUACCGUUUACGUAAGCCUAUAAUUCUUAGCCUAUGAGUAGUAUUUUUCACUUUCUGGUAUACUACUAUUUUUAUUUAUUUAUUUAAGAAAUUCUAGUACAUAUAAACUUUUCUAGAGAUGUAUCCGACGUCUUUUAAAUUAUAUCUUUCUUAAAUACUAGUAUUACUGGAAUAAGAAAUUGAUUUUUCUUAGGUACUGUUGCAGAAAUUUUUAGUUACUAAACAAAACAAACUACUUUUAAUUAAGCUUUCCAAGGGGUUUCUAACAAAAAAUUGUUUUUAAUAAAAUUUAUCUAACUUACAGUUUUCUUUUCAAUUCUUCCGUUUAUUCUUGAAUUUUUGCUAAAUUAAUUUAUUUUAGGUAGUAAGUCGAGGUGUUCAAAUAUCUUAAUACUCUUUUUACUUUUUCUUAAAUUGUUAGUAGAUAUAUUUAUAUAUACGGAAGGCAAAUUGUCAUGAAAAUGCCUCUAUCUUGAAAAUGCCUUUGGCAUGGCCGUUAGUUGACUUGCAUAUUAUGUCUCUAGUCAUGGGUUAAAAUCCCAUGACCCUUCUUUUUAUGCCAAAUUUGUGUUCGGGUCUAUUUUGAAGUCAAACCCGACCCGGUCAGGAUCCAUUAUUAACAAUCAGACCCGUUUGGGUCUAUAACUCAAAUUAUAGACCCAAUUGGGGCAUUAAUUCACAAAUAUCAGUUUUGUGGAUCUUUAGGUUAUCAAACCAAAAUUGUUUGACCCAUUUUAUUUUUUUAUUUAUUUUCCCUUUUUGUUUAGUUGAAUGAGGACAUGUUUAAUCACUUGAUGACAUGUUUGAUCAUCUGAUAAUGUUUGAUCAUAUAGUAACACUAAAUAGGGCCGACUGUGCAUGAAGACGACUUCCGUCAAAAAUAUGAUUUAUAAGCGUGCUAUCACAGCAUGGUUACACCCUCAACAUCGAUAUCAGUGUGUGAGGAUUUUCUCUUGAUUAUUACUAUUAUAUAAUAGCAUCGACUAAAUUAUGCACCCAUCUUGAUUGGACAUGUUCUUGGGUCACGAUUAUUUUUCAUAGUUUUACGAAAACCGUUACACGGUAACUCUGUGGUUAAUGCAUAAUAUUUCAUGCACAAUCACUUAAAUUAAACAGACAAAUAUGAGAUUUAAUAAAGAGGAAUUGGACGGAGAAUAUAAAAUGUAUAUAAGCGGGCUCAUGCGCAUUCCUGAUAUCUUGAGUUAUAUAUAUAAGAGCCAAGAGCUAAUACUUGACUUGAAGCCGUGUUCCCGAGACGGUUUACGGGGAAUCGAUUUAUAUAUAUGAGACUAUUCUCCUCUAAUUCAAAUAACAUGUAAAAUAAGAAUAAUGUGCUUAUAUGCUUUGUGAUAGAUUUAUUCGGAAUAUCUACAAGUAGCAUUUCUUUUAGUCACAUUUAAUUUAGAUUUCAUCUUUUCUUUAUACCUGCUACAUACAUUUACCCGCACAUAAUUUCCUCAUUUUAUAUGAUUGUUGGGAGUUUUCUGACUCCCCUGGGGUUUGCGCACCCAAGACUUGGGAACUGUUCUUUCUUCGCAGGAUCGAGAAUAUUUUGAGGAGCAAGUCCAGCGACAGUGAUCACCUUUUAGUCCAUCAGUUUAGUUGGUUUAGGAUGACCUAGAAGCGUGAAUAUGGUCGAAUGGUUGUAUUGCCGGCCGAGUCACAUUCUAAGUUAUUACAUUUUGGAACCAGGGCGUGACAACUACCAAUUAGGCAAAAGGUCAGAGAGAGAAUUUGAGGGUUUUGAAGGGUUAGAGUUUCUUGCAAUGUCUGCUGCUUCUUGUGCGAAGUGGAUUGAUGGGCUUCAGUUCUCGUUGUUGGUUUGUUGAACUCCAUGAUACUUCAAUAAACAAGUGAACGGACAUGGCAUGUGCAAUUUGAUUUCUGCAGGUCAGAGAGAAUAAAAAAUUGGACUGUGAAUUUGAACUUUUCAAUAGGCUCUGCGAAAACUAGUUGAAUAUUGUUUUAAUUUGUUACAUGACACCAGUUUUCUGCUAGUUAGUAAGUGAAGGAGCAGUGCAUGUGCAUUUUGAUUUUUGUAAGGUCAGAUAAGCUAAGGAAUUGA